rnacentral:rRNA from 1 species
AGAUUGAACGCUGGCGGCAUGCCUUACACAUGCAAGUCGAGCGGCAGCGCGGGGGCAACCCUGGCGGCGAGCGGCGAACGGGUGAGUAAUACAUCGGAACGUGUCCUUUCGUGGGGGAUAACCAGUCGAAAGACUGGCUAAUACCACAUGAGAUCUCACGAUGAAAGCGAGGGACCGCAAGGCCUCGCGCGAAUGGAGCGGCCGAUGUCGGAUUAGCUAGUUGGCGGGUAAAAGCCCACCAAGCGACGAUCCGUAGCUGGUUGAGAGAACGACCAGCCACACUGGGACUGAGACACGGCCCAGACUCCUACGGGAGGCAGCAGGUGGGGUAAUUUUGGAACAAGUGGGCGCGAAGCCUGAUCCACGCCAUGCCGCGUGUGUGAAAGAAGGCCGUUGGUUGUAAGUACACUUACGGACCGGAACCGAAAGUAACGUACGUUAGUUAACGUUAGAGUA